CAUUUUUUUCCUAUCCCCAGUGGGUUGUUAACACUAGAGCCCCCUUUAUUUUCUUCUCCUUUCUCCAGGGAUCUGCGUUAACCCUGACAGAAGGGGGAGGAGAGUUGUGUGCUUUUCUUAUACACGAAAGGCUAUUAACUGAACUCUUUUGUUGUUUCAGAGAUCCGUUCAUUAAGAGAAAAAGUGAGUAAAAAUAUAUCUUCAUAAACACAAAUACUAACUCUACUAUAAUACUUAAAUUUCUUGCAAGAUUUUUGGAAAAUUCAGCGCUAGUAAUUUGCUAACUUUACUAGUGUGGAUACAGUACAUA
rnacentral:lncRNA from 1 species